rnacentral:rRNA from 1 species
UACGGGGGGGGGCAAGCGUUGUUCGGAAUUACUGGGCGUAAAGGGCUCGUAGGUGGCCAACUAAGUCAGACGUGAAAUCCCUCGGCUUAACCGGGGAACUGCGUCUGAUACUGGAUGGCUUGAGAUUGGGAGAGGGACGCGGAAUUCCAGGUGUAGCGGUGAAAUGCGUAGAUAUCUGGAGGAACACCGGUGGCGAAGGCGGCGUCCUGGACCAACACUGACACUGAGGAGCGAAAGCCAGGGGAGCAAACGGG